UCUUGAGGCCUAAAUCCCUUAAAGGCACCAAAUCCUAUCUGAUCUUGGAAGCUAAGCAGAGUCAGCUCUGGUUAGUGCUUGAUUAGGAGACCGCCAAGGAAUACCAGGUGCUGUAGGCU
rnacentral:rRNA from 1 species